CACGGGGUUGCGAGCGUUGUCCGGAAUUACUAGGCGUAAAGGGCAGGCAGGCGGAUCCAUAAGUUUAUCGUUUAAGGCGUCGGCUUAACCGGCGUAGGGCGGUAGAUACUGUGGAUCUGGAAUGCGGUUGGGGAAGACAGAAUUCCUGGUGUAGCGGUGGAAUGCGCAGAGAUCAGGAGGAAUACCGAAGGUGAAGGCAGUCUUCCAAGCCGUUAUUGACGCUCAACUGCGAAGGUGUGGGUAUCAAACAGGAUUAGAUACCCGUGUAGUCCCUGA
rnacentral:rRNA from 1 species